rnacentral:misc_RNA from 1 species
GAUGAAGAACGUAGCGAAAUGCGAUAAGUAGUGUGAAUUGCAGAAUUCAGUGAAUCAUCGAAUCUUUGAACGCACAUUGCGCCCCUUGGUAUUCCAUGGGGCAUGCCUGUUCGAGCGUCAUUUGUACCUUCAAGCUCAGCUUGGUGUUGGGUGUCUGUCCCCGCCUCCGCGGGGACUCGCCUCAAAAUCAUUGGCGGCCGGUACGUUGGCUUCGAGCGCAGCAGAAACGCGAACUCGAGGCCCGGCGGAUCGGCGACCAGAAGUCUCUUCUUCACAGUUUGACCUCGGAUCAGGUAGGGAUACCCGCUGAACUUAAGCAUAUCAAUAAGCGGAGGA